UACGAAGGGUGCAAGCGUUACUCGGAAUUACUGGGCGUAAAGGGUGCGUAGGCGGUCGUUUAAGUCCGUUGUGAAAUCCCUGGGCUCAACCUGGGAAUGGCAGUGGAUACUGGACGGCUAGAAUGCGGUAGAGGGUAGUGGAAUUCCCGGUGUAGCAGUGAAAUGCGCAGAUAUCGGGAGGAACACCGGUGGCGAAGGCGGUUCUCUGGGCCUUACCUGACGCUGAGGAGCGAAAGCGUGGGGAGCGAACAGG
rnacentral:rRNA from 1 species